GGAUUGGAUUCCAAAGGGAUUUUGGGAUCCCAAGGGAUUUUGGGAUCCAAAGAGAAUUUGGAAUGGGAUUCCAAAGAGAUUUUGGGCUCCAAGGCGAUUUUGGGAUGGGAUCCCAAGGCGAUUUUGGGAUGGGAUUGCAAGGAGAUUUUGGUAUCCAAGGCGAUUUUGGGAUGCAAUUCCAAGGCGAUUUUGGGCUGUAAGGUGAUUUUGGGAUCCCAAGGCGAUUUUGGGCUCCAAGGUGAUUUUGGGAUCCCAAGGCGAUUUUGGGCUCCGAGUGCAUGUUGUGCUCCCGCGGGAUGUGGGGCCGGGGUUCCGGCGCCGUUCCCGCCUCUCACGGCGCGUUCCCCACGCGCAGGGCGGCGGCCUGGACGCUGCCGGCGACGCUUCCCGCCCCACGCCGCCCCGCCGCCGCCCGCGCUGCUGCUGGAGCCCAAACCCGGAAUGUUCUCCCAGCCCUUCCCUCCUUCAUCAUCCUCCUCAUCACCAUCCUCAUCAUCAUCAUCCUCGGCGUUCCCGGCCAUGCUGAGGCCCAAGGGGCCCUUCGGAGCCGUGCCCGUGGCUGCGCCUCCUCCUCCUCCUCCUCCUCCUCCUCCGGCUGCUGCUGCUGCGGCUGCGCGUGGAACGUUCCAGAACAGCGCCGGCGCGGCCGCGCUGGGCAUGGCCCGGCCGGGGCUGGGCCGCCCCCCGAGCGCCCCCAACCAGCUGAGGCUGCAGCUGCAGCAGCGCCUGCAGGGCCAGCAGCAGUUGCUGCAGCAGAACCGCCAGGCGGCGCUGCUGGGUCACUUCGGGCCGCCCGUGGGGCUCUCGCUGCGCGCCGGGAUCCCGCAGCAGCAGCAGCCGCAGCCGCAGGUAACGGCGGGGAAAUUUGGGGUUUGUUUGGGGUUUUCAUGGGGUUUGUUUGGGGUUUGGGAUUUGGGAAUUGAGAUUUGGGGUGUUUGGAG
rnacentral:lncRNA from 14 species